UACGUAGGCAGCGAGCGUUGUUCGGAGUUACUGGGCGUAAAGGGUGUGUAGGCGGCCUGUUAAGUUCCGUGUGAAAUCUCCCGGCUCAACCGGGAGGGUGCGCGGAAUACUGACGGGCUAGAGUGCGGGAUGGGAGAGUAGAAUUCCUGGUGUAGCGGUGAAAUGCGUAGAUAUCAGGAGGAAUACCGGUGGUGAAGACGGCUCUCUGGACCGUAACUGACGCUGAGACACGAAAGCGUGGGUAGCAAACAGG
rnacentral:rRNA from 1 species